CCACUUUCCUUCUUUACUUCCGCCACCACGCCACGCCUGCUCGCCGAAGCCGUGUCCGGCACCGCCUCUGCCCUGGCUGGCGCCACCGCCUCUGCCCCGGCUAUAAAGCCACGCCCUUUGGCCAGCCCGCUCCUCCUCCUCCCCUCUUCGUCCGGGCCGCGCCUCUCGCGUCCUCGCCGCGCUCUGCCCGGUCCGCUCCUCCUCCUCUCUUCUCCCGGGCCGCGCCUCUCGCCUCCUCGCCACGCUCUGGCAGGUCCGCGCCUCCUCCACUCUGCGUCCGGGCCGAGCCUUUCUCCUCCUUGCCGCGCUCUGGCAGGUCUGCUGCUCCUCCACUCUUCGUCCGCGCCGUGUCGUUCCCCUCCUCGCCGCGCUCUGCCCGGUUUGCUCCUCAUCCUCCUCCUCCUCCUCUCUUCAUCCGGGUCGUGCCUCUGUCCUCCUCAAGUCGCAUUUCAUCUUGCCCGUCCUCGCUCGGUCGAUUCGUCCGUUUAGAACCGCGUCUGGAUUUGGUUUUGCUCGUCCUCGCCGUCGCCGGUUUAGAUAGAGAGUCCCGCCUGAUUUGAUUUUGCUCGUUCUCUCCGCCGUUCGUUCGUGUAGAGUCGCGUCUGAUUUGGUUCUGCUCGUGCUCGAUUCGUCGGUUUAGAAUCGCUUCCGAGUUGAUUUUGCUCGUCCCCGCCGUUCAUCAGUUCAGAGUCGCUUCUUCUGAUUUGGUUCUGCUCGUCCUCGCCGUCGUCCGUUUUUCCUCCCUCUCGCCGUCGCCCCGAUGCGCUCGCGUGUUCUUGGUUCGUCUCGUCGAGGGUCUACGUCUGGUUUGCGAUUGAGAAAUUUCUGCGUGCACUUGCGUUUCGUGUUCGGUGUCAGCGCGAGUGUUACAGGAACGGUCGGGUCUUGGUUUUGAAAUUGGGUUACGGCCGGAAAUGGGGAGACAGAGAGGUUUGUCGUGCUAGUUCAACUGGGUUCCUAGGCUCCGUCACCUCGUCGGUUGUUUUCAGAUCUCAACGACUAGCUUGUACGUGUUCGUGUUCGUCCGUCAGAGACAUGCCCUUUGAUACUCUGGUUCCUUUGUCGAUUCUGAUUGUACUAGCUUGGUUCGCCCACCGUCGUGCUAGCUUGUUUCACUUUCUGCAGGCGUGUGUGCUCUCAUCCUUGAUGCAGGGGUGAUUAGUUACGGUUGUUCUGAUGGGUGUUACUGCUUGUUUCUGUUCUUUUCAACUGGUUAUUACUGUACUUUCUAUCAUGCUUUGCUUGUGUUCCCAUAGAUGAUGAUGUGUGUUCAGGGGUGCAAAUCAUGUAGGCCGUGGGUGCCAUUUCUUGCAGGCAGGCAGAGCAGAGUGCCUGACUAAUUGAACACCUGCUGCUGCUACUGUUGGACAAGGUUUCCUCCCGUUGUUAUUUCCAUUUUCAUACGAGUACUAGAUGAGGUGCUGCUAGUUAGUCCCCCCUACACUUCGUUCUAGAUUGCAUAGCAUAACUCCAGAAUUAUUUCAUUGACACCUGGGCAUAUAAUUCUGUUGUGAGCGGAAUUUAUUUAUUUGUGAAAGCACGUUCAUCACAUAUUUUUUAUCAAUGCUGCUCACUUUUGCCACGCCCCUUUUGCUUGUCCUGUUAAAUUUUAUGGCAUCAACUUGGAGCAAAUUUUGUACUCACUGGUUAAAAUAUCGAGAAUGCUAACUUCUGUAUUAGUCGCUAUGUAUGCCAUGCCAUGCACUUGGGAAGCCUGUGCGUGAUUAGGAUUUGGAUUGCAUAUAGAUUUUAUGCUAUGUUUGUUUAUAACCUGGUUGUGACCUAAUAUAGUGUAAAUCUGCUAAUUUUUUUAUUUAAUCUAUGUUCAAUGCAAGUAGGUUUUGUUCGUAAGUGGUAUUUAUUUUGUGUGUGUAUGAACAUUGAUGCCGUCAAUUUUUCUUAUCAUAAUCAUUUACCAUGGUGUUCGACAAUACAUUUCUACGGUUCUUUAUUCCCUUUUGAGGUUGUGAUCACUUAUGUGUUAGUAUAUACUAGCUAUGAUGUGUUUUAUUCAAGUUAUUAACCACAUCUCUUAUAGAUUUGCCUUGAGUUUAUAUGACACUGUCCGUUUCUUGUGUGCAAGCGCUCCAUUGUGUGUGUCUGACUGUGUGUGUGAUGUGCCCCUAUCUAUGUAUGUUUCUUUGUCCAUUUCAUAUGUGCAAGGCGCUCCAUUGUUUGUGUGUGACUAUGUGUUUGACUGCUUAGAUGGGUGAUUAUGAUUGUGUUACUGCUUAUAUGGUCUGUCCAAUUGGUUUCUUCUUCAUGCUUUGCUUGUGUUCCAAUGAUGUCUCCUCAUAUAUGGGGAUGUGUUCAGGGAUGCAAACCAUGUAGGCCGUUUCGAGCAGGCAGGGAUCGAGAGACAUGCACUGGUCAGGCUUCUCUCCUGCUGAUAGAUGAUGAUAGGCUGAGCAGAAAUGUUUGACUCUUGUAACACUCACUUGCUUGGCUUCCACUCCUUUGCGUGGCCGAUUUGGCAUCCAAUGCAUUCCAUGCCUAUCUUAUUUAUCUCACUCACUCAUCAUAGCACCAUUUUCCCUUUUUGUUCCUUAUUUUUUGUAUCAUAAUAAUCAUGUUUACCGUGGUGUUUGGCAAUACAUUUUUUUUGUGAUAUGUUUCGUUAUGUCUUAUGUGGAUAUCAUAUUCUUUUUUUGUAUUACUGAUGUCCAGUCACCGGAAUAAGCUUUUCUAAGUAUUUCAGGUAGGACAUAGACAUGUCACAUUUGCUCUUCCUUGUGUUGCUACCGACACUGAUGGGUUGGGUUUGCUUACAGCGAGGUAUAUUUAUGUUUUUUACAUUUUGUGAUGCUGAUGUCCAUAGUCCCAAAACAUUUAUUUAGUCAUGUUUUCCUUGUUCACUUCACAAGAUUAUGUAUUCAUGCUGAUAGUAUGGUACUCUUUCCAGGACUGAGAAUUCUACAAAGAAUCAUUGGAAUAUGUUUUUUACAUUUUGCGAUGUUGAUGUCUGUAGUCUCAAAAUGCUUAUUUAGCCAUGUUUUCCUUGUUCACUUCACAAGUAUUCAUGUUGAUAGUAUGUCUUUCCAGGACAGAUAAUUCUAUUGGAAUAUUUCUUUGAGAAAGAAGUUAGAUGUCUAUGGCACCAGAAAUAUUUUGGCAAUUCCAAGACUAAUUGGUCAUGAUGACUAAAAGCAUAAAUAGAAGACAGCUGAUUCUGAGGGCCAUCUUGAUCUGAACAGCUCAUUAUUCUAAUUUUAGCUCACCUCUACAGUCAUACAAACUGGUAUGCCAAGGACUGCUCAGGGUUCCUUUCGCUUUCUAUUUUACCAACCAAGGUAAUCAAAUUUGAUCUUCAGCUAGCAAAUUUAUAACCUUAUGGGAGGGAAAGGUUUGCAUGUACAUAAGCUCUGAUUAUCUACAUAUAUACUUGAAUUUCUUUGGAUUUGUCGGACUACUACUAUUCUACAUGAUGUUCUCCAUGAUUCAUUUGAUUUGUUGAUUUUAUUAUUUUCCUAGUGGGCUCUUUAGGUUCAUCUUGUGACACAAAAUACAAUAUUGGUACGUGCAGACUUUGAAAUUUGGUGAUAAAGAAAAGCUGAAUUAUUUCCGGGUAGGACGGAGAUGCAGUGUUUACAUCCAUGGCAGAAGGUUUUUUAACAGUGCGUCAAAGGUCCUUGGACUCAAGAGGAAGAUGACAAAAUUAUUGACCUUGUAAACAACUAUGGACCGCCAGAAUGAUCUCAUUGCAAGGUCAGCUACCAGAACUUCUUGCUGCUGAUCCUGGGAUGUUUCCGAACAUGCUCUCAAACAUGUUCAAUUUAUCCGCCCUAGGACAGUUUAUUUGGUGAUGGCAGCAUGAACCCACCUGAUCCACUUGCUAUGCAGCAUAAAUAAUGAUGUUAUCGCCACUGCCAUGACACAGUAGGCUACUCGGCAUGCUCGGCGUGUUUACCUCGGUGGACUUCCUCCAAUCGCUAAUGAACAUUUAUGGCCGCUAUUGGGGGAGACACAUUUGAUCCAGGUGAUGCAGUUCUUAAUAUGAAGCUGAUUUUUGAAUUCAUACAAAACAUCUUAGGUGGCAUAAUCAUCUAACUCUGUGUGUGUGACUGACUGACUGUGUGUGUCUGUGGCUGUGUAUGUUUUGUGUGUGUGACUGACUGUGUGUGUUCUAUGUCUUGUGUGUGUGACUGACUGU